CACGCUGUAAACGUUGAGAACUAGAUAUGGUGGGGCUGGCCCCCUCCGUGUCCAAGUAAACACGAUAAGUUCUCCGCCUGGGGACUACGGCCGCAAGGCUAAAACUCAAAGGAAUUGACGGGGGCCCGCACAAGCGGUGGAGCAUGUUGCUUAAUUCGAGGCAACGCGAAGAACCUUACCCAGGUUUGACAUGCAUUUGACCGGUGGUGAAAGCCACCUUCCCUUCGGGGCGGAUGCACAGAUGC
rnacentral:rRNA from 1 species